UGAUAACGUUAAAUAUAUUCGUUAUGUUUUUCUCUUCAUUAAACGUCCAAGGGAACUGAUAUUUGUAAUGUUGGGAUAAUUAAUUCGUUAAAUAGGUGCAUUGACAUUGUGUCAAAAUGGCCUGGGUCAACACACAUGAUGCCUCUGUCUUCUACAGCUUUGGUUUGAACUUUGAAGAAAACCACCUGGGAUACCUACUUGGCGACUCCGGCUAUCCGUUAAAAAAAUAUGUAUAAACGCCCUUGCUUAGGCCGACAACAGAUGCAGAGGUGUCUACAUGAAACUGAAGGAUGUUUAUUCAUGAGACUUGAUGAGUGCUGUCAAGCAGUAGAUGCAUGAAUGUGCCUGCACAACUUAUGCAUAGAUCAGCAGGUACCACUGCCUGAACAACUUAUUGAGGCACAGGAAGUGGAUUAUGUUGUGCGCGAUGCCCCACAACAGAACCAAAAUGCAGCACUUAUAGACAUCAUUAACUUAUUUAUGUAGGUGUUGUGUCAUGCUCACUUGUGCAUGAAGUGCUAUAGGUCAGCCAUUGUGGUUUGUCUAUGUUGGCUUCAUGCCUUAUCCACAUUUGACUCUAUAGUGAUGAAAGUUGGUCAUAAUGUUUCUGUUAAUAAAAGUCUGCAAAACUAAGUUUUUUGUCGUCAUAGCCAAUGUGGCUAUUAAACUUUGAAAAUGUCAUAGCCAGAGGAAAGUUUUCAUAGCCAGAAUAAUUAAUUUACAGUGACAUUAUCAUGAAUGAACGACAACAGUCGUUAUAUAUAGAUUGCAAUUGGGGGGGGGGGGGGGGUAAGAUUGUGAAAAAAUCAGUAUUCUAGGUUUCAAACUUUUAUUCCAUCACAUCUGACUCUGAGAGUUCUUUACAAUAUUUUGCAAUGUUAUUUUCAUUAUUAAUGAUAUGAAUGAUAAACACUGUUAUUUCGUUAUUUCAAAGCUAUUAAUAAAGACAUUCAACCAUUUUACUUAAUUUAUAAAAACCCUCGCACUAUUAUUUCAUUUAUCGGCGUAGAAUGCAAGAUCAGUUUACCAAAAGUAUUACAACAUAUUAAAUACGCGAGCCAGACUUUACACUCUAUAUAACAUCUAAGGGAGAUCACUAAUGAUAGAAAACUAAGGGAAGUAACCAAGCGUUUUCACUGUAAGAAUUUACACCUGAAAUGCGUCAAUUGAUUAUUAAUUGGUUUAUUUGCUUGGAUUUUUUUUUCAUCGCAAUUCAGGCAAUCUAUAUUCAAUUUUUCUAUCGCCAGAGCCGAGAUUUCAUCGCAUUGGUGAUCAGGCAAUGGGUUAAUUUUGCAGACUGUAAUAAUAUCUAGGCUAUUUUCAAGUGUGGUCAAAAUCUUUGUAAGAGUGUUAAUAUUGAAAAGUUCUAUGUAAUUCUUUUUGUUGAUUUUUAGCUCGACUAUUAUAUAUGAAAUAUAUAUAGUGGAGCUAUCCUACUCUACCCGGCGCCGGCGUCUGUGUGAGCGUUGCAAUGUUAAAGUUUGUGUACCACCUCAAAUAUUUUUGUCCCUUGACAUAUUGCCUUCAUAUUUUGCAUACUUCUUUACCAACAUGACCCCAAUCUAUAAACAAGAGCAGACAACUGUAUCAAGCAUUUUGUAAGAAUUAUGGCCCUUUUCCACUUAGAAUAUGCAUAUUAUUGACAAAUCUAUGUUAAAGUUUGUGUACCACCUCAAAUAUUUUCUAUGUACCUUGUCAUAUUGCUUUUAUAUUUUGCAUACUUCUUUACCAACAUGACUCCAAUCUAUAAACAAGAGCAGACAACUGUAUCAAGCAUUUUGUAAGAAUUAAGGCCCUUUUUCCACUUAGAAUACCAAUAUUAUUGACAAAUCUAUGUUAAAGUUUAUGUACCACCUCAAAUAUUUUCUAUGUACCUUGUCAUAUUGCUUUUAUAUUUUGCAUACUUCUUUACCAACAUGACCCCUAUCUAUAAACAAGAGCAGACAACUGUAUCAAGCAUUUUGUAAGAAUUAUGUUUCCUUUUAAGCUCGACUAUUAUAUAUGAAAUAUAUAUAGUGGAGCUAUCCUACUCACCCCGGCGUCGGCGUUUCUGCUUCCGUUAGCGUUGGCGUUAGCAUGCAAAUGUUAAAAGUUUUCAUACUACCCUUAAUUAUUUUCAUUGUCCCUUGACAUAUUGCUUUCAUAUUUUGCAUACUUGUUUACCAACAUGACCCCAACCUAUAAACAAGAGCAGGCAACUCUAUCAAGCAUUUUGUCAUAAUUAUGGCCCCUUUUCCACUUAGAAUAUGCAGCAAAUGUUAAAGUUUUCGUACUACCUCAUUUAUUUUUAUUGUCCCUUGACCUAUUGCUUUCAUAUUUUGCAUACUUGUUAACCAACAUCACCCCAACCUAUAAACAAGAGCAGACAACUCUAUCAAGCAUUUUGUCAUAAUUAUUGCCCCUUCUAUACUUAAAAUAUGCAUAUUAUUGAUAAAUCUAUGUUAAAGUUUGCGUACUACCCCAAAUAUUUCCUAUAUCCUUUGACAUAUUGCUUUUAUAUGUUGCAUACUUGUUAACCAACAUGACCCCAACCUAUAAACAAGAGCAGACCACUGUAUCAAGCAUGUUGACAUAAUUAUGGCACCUUUUACACUUAGAUAAUUGAACAUUUUGCUUAAAUUGCCAUUACUUCUUUAUUUAUGAUCACAUUUUAUUAUUAUUUUGACAAAACAACACUUACCUGAAUACCACAAUGGAUUCGACCCAAACAA